rnacentral:lncRNA from 1 species
ACACCCAUCUAGGCCUUCACGCCCUUCCACGCCUUCAAAUCCUCCUUCUGGUGGAUAUUACUCAUCUCCUCCACCAAGUACUCCUGUCGUUGUGACUCCACCAACACCCAUUGUUGACCCAGGCACACCCAGUACUGGAGGAACCCCUCCUUCUUCUGGUGGAUAUUACUCAUCUCCUCCACCAAGUACUCCAGUCGUUGAGACUCCACCAACACCUAUUGUUGACCCAGGCACACCCAUCAUUGGAGAAACCCCACCAACUCCUUCCGGUGGAUAUUACUCAUCUCCUCCACCAAGUACUCCCAUUGUUGUAACUCCACCAACACCCAUUGUUGACCCAGGCACACCCAUCAUUGGAGGAACCCCACCAACUCCUUUUAUUGACCCUGGCACUCCUGGAACCCCCUUCCUUCCUGCUCCUUUUCCACCAAUCACUGGAACAUGCGA